GGGUUCGAUUCCGGAGAGGGAGCCUGAGAAACGGCUACCACAUCCAAGGAAGGCAGCAGGCGCGCAAAUUACCCAAUGGGAAUACCCCGAGGUAGUGACAAUAAAUAACAAUGCAAAGCCAUUUUGGUUCUGCAAUUGGAAUGAGUACAAUUUAAAUCCCUUAACGAGGAACAAUUGGAGGGCAAGUCUGGGGCCAGCAGCCGCGGUAAUUCCAGCUCCAAUAGCGUAUAUUAAAGUUGUUGCAGUUAAAAAGCUCGUAGUUGAAUUUCGGACUCUGUAUGUUGGUUAAACGCAAGUUGAUACUAGCAUUGCAGAGUCUUACCUUUUGGAGAACCAAGGUGCUCUUUACUGAGUGCUUUGGGGAACCAAAACUUUUACUUUGAAAAAAUUAGAGUGUUUAAGGCAGGCUUACGCUUGAAUACAUUAGCAUGGAAUAAUAGAAUAGGACUUUGGUUCUAUUUUGUUGGUUUCUAGGACCAGAGUAAUGAUUAAUAGGGAUAGUUGGGGGCAUUAGUAUUGAGCAGUCAGAGGUGAAAUUCUUGGAUUUGCUCAAGGCUAACAACUGCGAAAGCAUUUGCCAAGGAUGUUUUCAUUAAUCAAGAACGAAAGUUAGGGGAUCGAAGACGAUUAGAUACCGUCGUAGUCUUAACCAUAAACGAUGCCGACUAGGGAUCGGUGGGAUUCGUUAUGAACUCAUCGGCACCUUAUGAGAAAUCAAAGUGUUUGGGUUCCGGGGGGAGUAUGGUCGCAAGGCUGAAACUUAAAGGAAUUGACGGAAGGGCACCACCAGGAGUGGAGCCUGCGGCUUAAUUUGACUCAACACGGGGAAACUCACCAGGUCCAGACAUAGUAAGGAUUGACAGAUUGAGAGCUCUUUCUUGAUUCUAUGGGUGGUGGUGCAUGGCCGUUCUUAGUUGGUGGAGUGAUUUGUCUGGUUAAUUCCGAUAACGAACGAGACUCUAGCCUGCUAAAUAGGUGCCGGGUUUUUACAUCUCCUCGCAAGGGGAGAGUGGAGUGUGUGGUUGUCGGGAUCCUGGGCUGUGGUGGUCGUUUAGGCUGCGGGGGGCAACUCUCGUGGUCUGGGCGGCUGUCAUAGUUCACCCGGUGUACGCACACUUCGCGUCCGGCAUUUUUCUUCUUAGAGGGACAAGCGGCGUCCAGCCGCGUGACAGUGAGCAAUAACAGGUCUGUGAUGCCCUUAGAUGUCCUGGGCCGCACGCGCGCUACACUGAAGGAAUCAGCGUGUUAUUCAUCCCUGUCUGAAAAGACCGGGCAACCGCUGAACCUCCUUCGUGGUUGGGAUUGGGGACUGCAAUGAUCCCCAUGAACCAGGAAUCCCUAGUAGGCGCGGGUCACUAGCCCGCGUCGAUUA
rnacentral:rRNA from 1 species